GGGCGCUUGGUCUAGGGGUAUGAUGUAAGUUGAAAUUCACAGCCAUUUAUCUUAAACAAUUCACUAACGAUUAGAAGUUUCGCUUCGCAUUAAAUAAGACAUGUGCCUGUGAAAGGUCGUGGGUUCAAUUCCCACAGCGUCCA